rnacentral:sRNA from 12 species
UAUAAUUGCAGGUAGAGAUACGCUGUAUACUCAUGAUAUCGAAUUUGCGUUUAAGCGAUAUGUAAUAUCGUCGAUCAUGAGGCCACCUCAUUGAGGUGGCUUUUUUACUU